AACGAACGCUGGCGGCAUGCCUAACACAUGCAAGUCGAACGAGACCUUCGGGUCUAGUGGCGCACGGGUGCGUAACGCGUGGGAACCUGCCCUUAGGUUCGGAAUAACUCCCCGACAGGGGUGCUAAUACCGGAUAAUGUCUUCGGACCAAAGAUUUAUCGCCUUUGGAUGGGCCCGCGUUGGAUUAGCUAGUUGGUAGGGUAAAAGCCUACCAAGGCGACGAUCCAUAGCUGGUCUGAGAGGAUGAUCAGCCACACUGGGACUGAGACACGGCCCAGACUCCUACGGGAGGCAGCAGUGGGGAAUAUUGGACAAUGGGCGAAAGCCUGAUCCAGCAAUGACGCGUGAGUGAUGAAGGCCUUAGGGUUGUAAAGCUCUUUUAACCGGGAUGAUAAUGACAGUACCGGGAGAAUAAGCGCCGGCUAACUCCGUG
rnacentral:rRNA from 1 species